UAAGGAAUAUUGGUCAAUGGAGGGAACUCUGAACCAGCCAUGCCGCGUGCAGGAAGACGGCCCUCUGGGUUGUAAACUGCUUUAGUCUAGGAAAAAGGGGUGCGAGGAUAAUACCCUCGUGCUUUGAUGGUACUGGAAGAAUAAGCACCGGCUAACUACGUGCCAGCAGCCGCGGUAAUACGUAGGGUGCGAGCGUUAAUCGGAAUUACUGGGCGUAAAGCGUGCGUAGGUGGUUGUUUAAGUCUGCUGUGAAAGCCCUGGGCUCAACCUGGGAAUUGCAGUGGAUACUGGGCGACUAGAGUGUGGUAGAGGACAGUGGAAUUUCCGGUGUAGCAGUGAAAUGCGUAGAUAUGCGGAGGAACACCGAUGGCGAAGGCAAUCCCCUGGGCCUGCACUGACGCUCAUGCACGAAAGCGUGGGGAGCAAACA
rnacentral:rRNA from 1 species